UAAGGAAUAUUGCGCAAUGGGCGAAAGCCUGACGCAGCGACGCCGCGUGUGGGAGGAAGCUCUUCGGGGUGUAAACCACUGUCAGGAGGGAAGAACGGCGCCGGUUCGAACAGUUCCGGCGAUUGACGGUACCUCCAAAGGAAGCGCCGGCUAACUCCGUGCCAGCAGCCGCGGUAAGACGGAGGGCGCAAGCGUUGUCCGGAAUCACUGGGCGUAAAGGGCGCGUAGGCGGCCUGGUAAGUCGGAGGUGAAACGCUGCGGCUCAACCGCAGCACUGCCUUCGAGACUGCUGGGCUUGAGCACGGUAGAGGCUGGUGGAAUUCCCGGUGUAGCGGUGGAAUGCGUAGAGAUCGGGAAGAACACCGGUGGCGAAAGCGGCUCUCUAGACCGAUAUUGACGCUCAUACGCGAGAGCGUGGGUAGCAAACAGGAUUAGAUACCCCGGUAGUCCCUGAGCGGGCUGGCAAGGCGCAU
rnacentral:rRNA from 1 species